UACGUAGGGUGCGAGCGUUGUCCGGAAUUAUUGGGCGUAAAGAGCUCGUAGGCGGUGUGUCGCGUCGGUCGUGAAAACUUGGGGCUUAACCCUGAGCUUGCGGUCGAUACGGGCAUCACUGGAGUUCGGCAGGGGAGACUGGAAUUCCUGGUGUAGCGGUGAAAUGCGCAGAUAUCAGGAGGAACACCGGUGGCGAAGGCGGAUCUCUGGGCCUGAUCUGACGCUGAGGCGCGAAAGCUAGGGGAGCGAACAGG
rnacentral:rRNA from 1 species